UACGUAGGGUGCAAGCGUUGUCCGGAAUUAUUGGGCGUAAAGAGCUCGUAGGCGGUCUGUUGCGUCGGCUGUGAAAACCCGAGGCUCAACCUCGGGCCUGCAGCCGAUACGGGCAGACUAGAGUUCGGCAGGGGAGACUGGAAUUCCUGGUGUAGCGGUGAAAUGCGCAGAUAUCAGGAGGAACACCGGUGGCGAAGGCGGGUCUCUGGGCCGAUACUCACGCUGAGGAGCGAAAGCGUGGGGAGCGAACAGG
rnacentral:rRNA from 1 species